rnacentral:lncRNA from 1 species
GCCAAGAUACUCAAUCAGCCUAGUUGCCCAUUACUGGAAGAACAGAUAAAGAAAUGUGCAUAUACAGUGUGCUUUAGCCAUAAAUUUGAAUGAAAUCUUGUCCUUUGCAAGAACAUAGAUGGAAAAAGAAAGCGGAUGGAAUUGGAGGAUCUCAUCUGAAGCAGAAUACGUCAGACACAGAAAGACAGGCCUCACAUAUUUUCUCUUGUGAGUGGAAAUUGUUUAAAACCCUGGAAGUAGAAGACAGACUACUCUGGCUGCGAAGGGAACCACGAGGGAGGAGCGAGAAGAGGGGCGAGACAGGACAGAGGGAGGGCGGCUGUGACCAGCACACGGUACGUGCUUCCCGUGCGCAAGGCCCCGGGAGCUCAUCAGCUUGCGUAACCAUCACUUACAAUGAUAACCAAGGGGAGUGCUGAAGGCAGAAAAUCACUGAACUGGGGAGCCCAGAAAGCAGCAGCCGUAAAUACGAGAUGACCUUCCAAGAGCCGGAUGCCUGAAUUUACGACUUUGGAGACUACGAGACCAUGGGCCGCAGCAAGGGGAGCAUCGCGGCAGCAGGGGGCUGAGGAGGAAGGGAGAGCUCAUGGCCUUAAGUGAGGAGCGCAGCGGCCAGGCUGGACCUUCGCCGGCUCGCGGCAGGGCCUUCGCGGCGCCGCCCGCAGUAAGGCUCCGUGAGAAGAGCUGUGGACCAGGCCGGCGGCCUGAACGAUCCCGGGGCCUGAGGGCCGCUCCGGGACGCGCUCGAGGGCAAGGGGCGGGAGGCCAGGUCAAGGUCAGGCCCUGGGAAUAAGCCGGGGGAGGAGGAGCGACUCUGAAGGGGCGGGGCGACCGAUCGCGUCCCUGGGCAGGCACAGGGCACAGCACCGACUGCAAGCUAGGUUAAAGGCCACGUUUCGGGAUCCGGCAGGAAGCUCCUGUCCGUGGAGGGCCGCAGUCUAGCAUGUCCUGUCCUGUGUUCUUGACCACAAGGCCACCAUGCAGUGAGCAGCUGUCCUCCACCAGGCUCUUUUGCCUCAUGUUUCUGGAGUGGAGCAGCUGGCCAUGGACUGAACCCAGUGGAACUGUGAACCAACAGGGAAGUCUGUGCAGGUAUGCUGCUUUAAACAAGGUGGACUUAGCCAAGGCAGCGGAUGAUCUUGUGUUAAGGCGGAGUGCAAACACAUCUUGCCUGCUUUGUGAGAGGUUUCCAGAGAACUCGCAGGUGCAGCAGAACCACGGCUGGGCGGAGGGGCCACUGGGCCCUCUAGGAACUUCUCUCAAAUAUACCACAGGAGGCACUGCUCCCUGCAGAGUUCACGUGGGACGUCUUUAACUGUCCGCCAGUCUGUUUUCCCCAGAAUCAAACAUCUGCCCAAGUCCAAGAACAUCUCAAGAAGCCAAAAUAAAUACAGAAACCUUUUCCCAUAGCUCACCAGUUGAUUUUCCCAGCUAUAAAAAGAUGUUUCAACUGACAGGAAAUAGUUCCCUGACUGACACAGGUCUCCUGAGAGGAAGUGUGACUUCUUGUCCACUAACAUUUCAUGGUGGCUGAGAAUCAGCCUGCCUUCCUCUGAGGGCUUCCUAGGGCAACCAGUUGUUCAGGUCAGGAGUACCAUGAUAUAAUCUGAACCCAAUGAUCCUUGUAAAUACUCCAAUUCCAGGGAAAUCCUCAUCUUUGCCCUAAUUACAGCUUUUUUUUUUUUUGGUACUGGGGAUCGAACUCAGGACCUUGCACCUGCAAGGCAGGUGCUGGAACCACUGAGCUAAAUCCCAGGCCCACAAAUUGUUUUAAUUAACUCAAGGAAUAAGGCCCAGGCCUAUUUGGAGAUAUAUUCUCCCUUACAGCUUCUAGAAGUUCAAGAGGCAAAAUAUUUUUCAACAUUAGGUGAUCCAUUCCAAAUUAUUAAUUUCAUCUAACGAAGUAUGAUCGUUUUCUGUUGCUGCUGUAACCAAUGACCACAAAUUUAGGGACUUAACACAAAUUUUUGCCAUGACAGUUCGGUAAUGGUCCAAAAUCUCACGCCCGCCUGCCAAUGGCUGGGCUAUUUCUUCUGGAAGGCCCGGGAGAAUGUGUCCUGGUUUGGCCUGACUGGUACCACGUCCCUCCAACUCUGUCCACCCGUCCCUCUCCCUCCUGUGGCCCCUGUACCACCCUUGUAAGUCCACUCAUGAUUGCAUUUAGGGGCCACACAAGUACUACAGCACAGCCUCCCCACCUCACCCAGUCUCCUCUGCAAAGCCUCUGUUGCCACACAAAGUAACGCUCAAGGUUCUGGGAUUAUAAGUAUGAGUCCUGGGCGGGGAGGUCUAUAACUUGCCUAAUACAUAUGGGUUUGAAUUCAUUUUAAAUAAUGUGGUCCAGCCUCUACUGCUUUUAAAGUAAUUUCUUAUUUUAUACGUGUGACGCCGUGGGCAAGCUGACGAAGCCCUAUUUCUUUGUCUAGCAGGCUAUGCUACUGUAAUUGCUAACUGGAAAGCCUGUCCCUCAUCGGACUCUCGUUAGUCUCGUCUAGGACCACAAGACCGCCUACCGUAUUUCCUGCGUUUCCCUGGUCAAUGGUUUCAGUUCCCAGAAAAUGAAUCUUAACAGUCAGAAUUUUUGAUUGCCAGAGUAACCUUGCUUGAACUGGUUUAAAUUUUUUAAAAAGUGUUGGCUCACAAAACUGAAAAUUGCAGUGGGGUUGAUGGGCUUGGGCACAAAUAGAAGCAAAUACUCAGUUAUGUCCUCAGGAACAUUUUGAAGUCAGUGUUUAUGCUGGGGGUGGACCACAGGGCCUCACGCAUGCCAGGCACAGGUUCUACACGGAGCACCCAGCCCCUCAUCUUCAGGAAUUUCCAAUCCGUCCCUUCCCUUCAACCUGCUUCGCUUAGUCUUGGUUUUUUCUCAGCCGAAGGCUAAUGCUCUAAUGCUCAUAAGUGUUGCAAAACAACAUCUCAGAAGUGCUGAUCUUCUAAUCUACCAACUUAGCAACCCAACAGCUGGAGGCAAUGCCUUUCUCUCAGAAGUUGCAGCAAAGGUCCCAGGGGUGUUGUCCCUGACCCAGGGGAAGUCACAGCACAUUACCGGCCCUGACGCCAUGGCUUCUGGGGUAUGUAUGUGCUCUGACUGUCGAAGCCUGAGCUCUAUGUCUCCUUGAAACCUAGGAGGAGCCCUUGUCCCAGGCCACAUAAGGGAGGCUUGGUCUCCCCAAAAUAAAGGUAAACUCAGCAGAAAGAGAAGUUGAUGGUGGGCCAAACAAAUUAACAUGUCUGCUACACUAGUUUCAGACCCAGGUGCUGCCUGUACAAGGAACAUCUAAUAGUGACGAAUUUCUCGAGGCAAGACUGUGCUUGCCCCUUACGCUAGACCCUUUCCCUCCAUCCUUGAGUAAUGCAGCACUACUCAGCUGUGUGUGGAUUCUCAGACACCAGAGUCGGGGAAAAUGAUCUCUUCUUAUGCCCAGGGCUGAGCCAAGAAAAGCCUGUUUCCUUGCUGAAAUAACCUGACACUGCAGGAUUGCAAAACCACGUCACAAAAGUCUCAACUCAGAUCUGUAAACCAUGGGAACCCUGAAAGAAAUGAUUGGUUGGAUUGUCCAGAGAUUACAUGACUACAAUGAAAGUGUAAAGUUUAGAUAGCACAUUCUCACUUUCGCCAAAACAGAACACUAAUGUGACCCAAUGUUUCUUAUUUCCAAAAAGCCCCUGACUAAAUCAAGUAAAAAGAAACCAACAAAGCUUUCCAUGUCCCGGCUUGUAACAUUUCUCUUCAUAAAUGAGUUCCUAGAUACUUGAAUUUGAAAAUCCAUCUCUAGGUUGGGUAUUCACUUUUCAUCUAAAAGUAAAUAUAUAUUGUUAAUCUGAUUUUAAUUUUUCUCUUAUUUGGAAAAGAUGACUUAGCAAAUUAGGGAAAAAAAGAUUAGAUGGAUAAAGAAAUCUGAAACAUCAGGUUACAUUUUCUCAUACAGAUAUUCAUCCUUUGUAUUAUAAAAGUAUAAGCUUGGUUUUUCUGUUAAAUUAUUAUUAUAAUAUUAAAUUAAGGAAUCAAGUUGUGAUAGUGCUGCUUGCCUGAGUUUCCUGUUUGGGGUGACAGAAUUUUGUUUUUAAGAGACAGGAUCUUAUAUGCUGCUCGGGCUGGCCCCAAACUCCCUGGCUCAGUGAUCCUCCUAGCACAGACUCCCAAGUAGCUGAGAAUGUCGUCAAGGGCUCACCAGGCCAUACUAUUUCCGUUUCUAGUGGGGACUGACUCUGCCCACAUAACUCUGGGAAUAACCAAAGGGGUUGCUUCGAUCAGGACAUCAUGGAGGCCACUGAAAAGUUAACCAAAAAACCAAACUUGUAUAGCAAAAUAUACAUUAUUCUAACUACUUGUAGAGCAUGAACAAUAAAUAAUGUGAGAUUUUGAUGUUCUAGUUCCUUCUAGAAAUCCAUGACACAUUCAACAGUACUUUACUCUUGUGAUUAGCUUCUCUUUUUGAUUUUAAGUUCUUCUAGUUCUUUUUAAUUUUAGAUGUCUUCACUGGAGUCUACAGUUGCAUCAAAUUGGAAUUUAAACUUUUUUAUCCUAUGGAUGAAUCAAAUUGGAAUUUUAAACACCGGGUCUUUAUCCCAAAUUGUUUUAAAAGGUUUUAUUUUUUAAACAUUCUGUAAAACUUCUGCAACUGCCCUUUUGCCUUGGGGCCUAGACCUUCUCCACCCAAGCAGGAGAAAGGAAUGAAAGAUUUCCCCGAGAGCCAGGAGUUGCCAUGGGGAACACAGGAAGCACAGGGCUUUAAAGGGGACUCCAGACUCCCCGCAGGUAAUUAGUAAUAUCGGAAGAUUCCUUUCGGAGGUGCUGGGGUUCAACCAGCGCGCACGCGUGCGCGCGCACACACACACACACACGCACACACACGCACGCACAGGUGAAGCACAGAGUCCACCACUGAGCCACACUCCCAGCCUCGGUGGUCCUACUUUUAAUUCACAGAAAUUCUCCUUACACAUCCCCACUCCCUUCUCUCUCCUCCUUCCCUGUGACUAUUGAAGAUUUUCUUUCUUAGAACCAAACCUAAGUCCGCUGGAGCCCUGCUAUGUGUCCCCUCCCGUCCGGCCUCUGCCUUAGAUGUAGCUUCAUGGCCUUUCUGAAUGAGCUGUCACCUUCUUUUUUCCUGUAAGUUUCAACCACCCAGUUCCACUAACUACAGCUCUGAAGACUGGGAAACUCCACAGCCAAGCUAAAUCAACCCAGAAGAGUAGAUCCUUCACGGAGAAAAAAGAUUGUCUGCAGCCGAAGAGAGGUAAAAGAGGGGAGGACUAUCACACAGGACAGAAGACUGUCCCUGUGCUUCCCUACCUUUCAGCACUGAGCUUCCACACCCUCAAGUCAUUACUUCUGGUUCAAGAUGGUGUGACUCACAUCAAAUGAAACAGGGUUAGAAGAGCUUUUAUAGAAAAAACUUCCAAAGUGAGUCUGAAGUAAAAAGUCUAACAGUGUCUUAAAUUUAUUCCUUGCUAAUGUAGAAGUUCAUCUAAUUAAAUUUGAUGUUUGGGUUGGAGUCAGUAUGGAGCACUUGCCUUACAUGUGGGAGCUCGGAGUUCACUACCCAGUGUUGCAAAAUAAAUAAAAAUGAAUGAAAGUCUUCUUUAUCACCUAGGAAUCAUGAGUGUUGAGCAAUUUCAUGGAAAGCCAAUAAUGCCCCCUUUCUGGAUUCAGCAUGUCAAAUCUGACUGCAGCACUGGAUGUGGAAUUCUAGGAUAUUGUCCACUAAGUAUUUUUAGUAUUUUCAUGGCAUACAAGGACCUCUGUAGGCUGCAAUCUAGUCCUGGGUUCACAAAAACUCAUUUGGUUAAAAUUUUAAAAUCCUAGAAACUCAGAUUCUCCUGCAAGGAAAAGAUCACCUCAUUUGAGAGAAAGGCCAAUGUACAGAAAUGUGCACACACAGCACACAGAUUUGAUGGAAUUCCCCACAAGGCACACAGUUCGCCAAUACUAUGUUGUUCCCACACCUGAAGCUGUUACGGUUCCCGGCUUUGGGCAAACGGAAGUUGGUGCUUACUGUCACCCAGAGUCCGAGGCUCCGUGGUCUCACUGGCAGAUGACAGGACACGACCAGGUUUGGAGCGACCUUUGUAACAGCUUCAGCUAAGUCUGAUUACUCCAAAUAUAUGGGUUCUGAAGCUGUGAUUUUGGACUCUAAUGCCUGUUUUGCUCUUGGAAGCAUCUUUAGUUUCUUGCUUUACUUUCUGCCUCAAAUUUGGACUUAGCUCUUUCAUCUGCUCCAAGGUUUCUGUCCAGAUUCACUCCCACAAAUCUCCAACAGAAGGUAACAAACAGCACAGCGACUCAGCAUUCUAAAUUUCAAUGUAAAAAAUAUGAAAAAUGGUUAAUGUAAGAUUCUUAUACAGGUGCCAGUUCUAUCUACCAGUAGUUAAUCAUGGGGAGGGCAACUCACAUUUUUAAUCAUUGUUCUUCAUCUUGGGUUUGUUCCAGUUCGGAAAGCGUGUGCUUCUCUGCUCUUUACAAAGUGAGGCGGUUCGGGUGCCAGUCUCUGAGGUCUCAUCCCAGCUUUUAUCCGGGUUUCUGGAGCAUCCAGGAGUCCCGCCAUGUGCAUCCUGGCUGAAUCAUUCCGGAAGGCUCUCAUGGAAGGCUCUCUCGGUAUCUUGCACAGAGGAGUCUCCUCACUUCUCCUCGAUGGCCUCCAAUGACAAAGGGGAAGGAGCAGCCAGUAUGAGGUCCGGACUCCAAUGAGUCUCCUCGGGAGCCAGCCCACGGGCUAGGGUCAGGGUUAGGGUUAGGAUCUGGCUACACAGAUGUUGCACAGGAUGAGCUGUCCACCCUGGACUCCGCUGAGGCAGCCAAGGGAGG